ACCUGUGCAGCUUGCAGCCAGCUGGAGCUGUCAGGUAAACUAACAGCCCUUUAAAAAGCCAAACAACUGUUGCUUUACAGAUACUGAGUUGAUUUUACAUUGCCCAAAUGCAGAGAAGAACUAGAGCCCACUUGUCCAGCAGCAGAAUCAGCCAACCUUAAGGAGUGGAAGGCAGCUGGAAAUGGCAUUGAAAUACCAGGCUGAACAGUCUCAACUUUCUCACCUUGUCAAGCCUAAACCAAUCAAUUAAGUUUCUGGAGCUUAAAAGAAAAUUAUACAGAUGAUGAAGUGUCCACACCAUGGUUCCCCAGGAUGGUGCUGCUCUGCUCAGAAAUGCCAGUAUUUCAGCUGGAGAGAAGCAGAAUGUGGCUUUUUAUCAACAAGUAAAGCUUUCCAGGUUGGUGAAGAAAGUGGCAAGGGAAAAACAAGUCUGUGAGCGCUGUGAUGAUUAAAAAGGCAGACAACUUUUGAAGAGUAAACUGGAAACUAUCCUCAAUUAAUUCUUGAACUGCUGACUUCCCAAACCAAUUUAGCCAUUCAUCCAUGAAGCUAAAAGGACUCAGCUGCUGUUUAUGUCUUGGAGAGUUGUGGAAGCUCCUUUUUGUUGGUUGUGGUUUGGGUUUUUUGUGGAAUUUUUUUGUUUUGUUUUGUUUUGGUUGGUUGGUUGGUGGUGGUGAUGGUGGUCGUGGUUUUGGGGUUUUGUUUUUUUUAAAUAUCACUCUGCCUGCUGUGGUUUUUUUUAUGUGCAAAAGUGCAAAUUUAAUGUGUUUUCUGGGAUUUUUGAAGCUGUAAAUUAAAAUCUCUGAGAGAGAAAUUAGCCUAAAUUGAGCAGAUCUUUAUUUCUCUGGUAUUUUACAAACAGAAAUAAAAUGCAGUGUUGUUACCUGUGAGAUGUGACAUAGUUCAGUUGGUGUGAUGCUGACCUAGUGAUGGGAAGGUCUGUAUUUUAAUAAUGGCUCCAUAACCAAUUUCCUUUGUUGGCUUUUGCAAACUGUGGUUGCCCCAUACACAAGAAUAGGGAAAGAGAAUUGUAAUUUUUUUUUUUUUUGAGUCACAUGAAACUAAAUUAAUAAUUUAAUUAUUUGUGUGCAUUUUCCAAAAUAAGUGAGGGACAGGGCAGUGCAUGAAUGUCACUUGUGACCCUAUGGGGCUUUUCCCUCCCUUUCAAUCCUCAAAAACAAUCUGUGUUAAACAGGAAAGUUCUUGCUCCAUUGUCACUGUCCACUUCCUGUGGACACCCCACAUUUUUGUUAUUGCUCAGUUACCCUGCACUAAUAUUACGACAGCAAGGCAGAUGCAGGCAGUAACAAGGUGGAGAUUUGUACAAAAUAAUAUAAUUAAGUUGCUUCUGCUCAUGCAGUUUGCCACAUUAAGUAAACAUUCAUGGGAAUUAUUCAGAAGAAGGUGGAAUACAUUUGGAAAAAAUUGCAUAUUUGCAUAAUGCAGUGAAUUUCUCAGCUUUUGUGCCCUGCUGAAUGUAGAUGAGAUACUAAUUUAAGGAGUUUACAAUUCUGCAUCCAUUCUAACAUCUGUUUAUAAUAAAUAGCUGUGACUAAUUUGAAACGAGGAGGGUGAUCUCCACAGCCUUUGGGCAUUAACUGCUGCUAGCAGAUACAUUUUUAGCCUACCCUGUUUAUAUUGAAAUAAGAUGUUUGCCAUGGAAACCUACAUGUUACAAUAAACCACCACUUUCCAAAGGGCUGGGAAGCUUUGCAGUGAGCACCAGGAAUGUAUCAUCCAGUGUUUUUUCCCUGAAAUUAUUUGUUUGAAAUACGGUUUCUUAAUAUUUCUGAUUUCUGAUAGAUGAGUAAUGCGAUAGUUGACUCUCACAAUUAACAGGCAAAUAUUAUGUAUAUGUUAAGAGAAGUUUUAUAGAUUUAUUGUUAUGUUUUGCUCCCCUUGCACUGUUAUCAUGGGAUGGCCUUGGUAGCUGGGGCAUUUGGGAGGGUCGGUGGUUACCAUGGCAACACCUGACCUCCAAGCAAGAUGUGAGAAAGUGAACUCCACCACUGGACAGCACAGGAGUCGAUGGACAAGACUUUGGGAGGGGAUAAAGGGUUAAAAGUAGGAGGAAUAGCAGAUUUGUCUUUACAAACAAGCUGUGGGUCUGCUGGUAGAUAAAACUAGCACUGGGAGAUAGAAGAAACAAUGGGAAGGAUUCCACUGAUUGAUGAAUGGAAAAAGAUAUUUGCCUUUACAAAUGAACUUUAGGUUUGUUGAUAAAGGAAAUUAGACAUUGAAAGAUGAUAGAAACAAUGGGGAAGAAAAACCCCUAAAUUCCGUAAGAAUUAAAAAUUAAAAGGGAAGACUAUACAUUAGAGGGAAAUCUCUGGUAUCAGGUGUAUGGGGAAGUCUGAACUUCUCAAGUACCUCAGCCAAUGGGGAAAGAGAGAAGGGAAAUGUGGCUGGAAAAUUAGGAUAAAAAGGAGGCUGCAUCCUCCAAAAAUGUGAGAGAUCCCAGGGGAAUGCCCCAUGGCCACUCCCUUUACUCAGAUAAAGUAAAAAGACUCCUAUGUCUCCUUUUUGGACAUAAACCACUGAUGUUUGUGGAUUAAUUUUCCUAAUAAAAGGCAAAACCUCCAUUGUGUGGAUGAGCACAUGGUGGGGAAGAUCCUUUGCUCCCAGCACUGUAAUAUUUUCUCUAGUCAGUCUUCUGUUGUAUUUUUAUAAGGUUUUAAUAAACUUUUUAAUUUUUUGAAAGUGAUUCUCAAAUUAUUGAUUUGAUAAGGAUUGUUCUGACCACUCAGUUUCUGUGGAGAAUGGGAACUCCCAUCUAUGAAGCAUUAGCUUCCUUUUAAUCCUGUUUUCCCUCCAAAUUCCAGAUUUUUCUGUGAAGGAAAAGCCUGAAAAAUAUCUUGAAGUAGGUGGAUCUGUUUCCUAUGGACAGCAAGAACAGUUUUGCAUUUUAUUUUGAUUUCCAAUGAGAUUAUGUAUAAUUGAAUAUUAAAAAAUACAAAAUUAUUGAAAUUUUCAAUGUGAGAAAUAUGAACGUGAAUUGUUUUGGAUUUGCCCUUUUGCUCUCUUAUUGAUAAAAAACUAGUGAAUUUCACAUAAUUCUCUUGCUUUCCUUUGCACUUUAUGUAAUGGC